rnacentral:rRNA from 1 species
UGCCAGACUCCUACGGGAGGCAGCAGUGGGGGAUAUUGCACAAUGGGGGGAACCCUGAUGCAGCGACGCCGCGUGGGUGAAGGAGCGUUUCGGCGCGUAAAGCCCUAUCGGCAGGGAAGAAGGAGGACGGUACCUGACUAAGAAGCCCCGGCUAACUACGUGCCAGCAGCCGCGGUAAUACGUAGGGGGCAAGCGUUAUCCGGAUUUACUGGGUGUAAAGGGGACGCAGACGGCUGCGCAAGUCAGAAGUGAAAGCCCGGGGCUCAACCGUGGGACUGCUUUUGAAACUGUAUAGCUAGAGUGCAGGAGAGGUAAGUGGAAUUCCUAGUGUAGCGGUGAAAUGCGUAGAUAUUAGGAGGAACACCGGUGGCGAAGGCGGCUUACUGGACUGUAACUGACGUUGAGGCUCGAAAGCGUGGGGAGCAAACAGGAUUAGAUACCCCGGUAACG